rnacentral:snoRNA from 1 species
GACUUGAACAAAACUAGACUUUGUUCUUACACUGACCAUAAAGAGAAGGAAAAGUAAACCUACCCCAUAUAUACCUCAACCCAGGCCCUGUGCUUAGUCUAUAUCAUGAAUGGGAAGACAUGG